CUUGUAUUUAGGGAGAAGGAGGAUGGCAACGUGAUCGGACUUUCCGAAUGCAGGCAGGGGGAUAGCCUUGUAGCUGUCCUUGAACGGAGUGUAGCAGUGAUCCAAGUGCCCUUCAAAGAGCGUGGUUCCUGUGGCCACCGUGAGUGAAUGACUCAGACAUGCAACGUGCAGUCAUGCUCCAGCUUGCAUGGGCAGAAGCUUCAAAGGGCAACAGGUCUAUAGUAAGGAGAGGAAGCAGUGGAGCGCGGAGAGGACAGGAGAGGAG
ensembl:lncRNA